rnacentral:tRNA from 1 species
GCCUGGGUGGCUCAGUCGGUUGAGCGUCUGACUUCAGCUCAGGUCAUGAUCUCACAGUUUGUGGGUUCGAGCCCCGCAUCGGGCU